rnacentral:lncRNA from 10 species
AACUGACUUCUUCGUGAGGCUGAACACUAUCAAAGAUUCCAAAAAGAGAAAAAGCCCAUGGCAGACAUCCAGCUGAUCACACUGUGUCCACAUAAGGCAAAUGCUGAGCUGUAAUCCAUCAAGCUGUUUCCAAAUCACCAGAUCUACUCCUUGGAUGAUAAAGCAAUGCAAAUUGCAGAAAUUAGAGGUGAAAUCAAAUGGUUGAAAGGAACCCUGCUUUGAUCACUUUUUGGCUAAAUUGGAGAAUUCAUUAAGUGUUUAGAUCUCAGUUAAUGUGUAGGAAAAAAUGUCUUUCUUUUAGGUUUGCAGAGUAGCUUAGACAUAUAAUGUUUAAAUCUGUGUAUAAUUCUAGCCACAAAAUCUGUGAUCAGAAAAUAUAUUUCCUUUUUCUUCUUUAUUGAUAACAAAAGGAAUGAAGAAAUUAUAGGUCUUUAGAGAUAUCAGUGUCUUUGGAUCAUGUGAUCUGAUGGAAAGAAAGAAAAUCAAUAUUAUCUGAGUGUCAGGGAUAUAGUAAUUGCUUUCACCUAUCUUGUUGUAUUCUCAUGAUAGCUUAUUGGGUGUAACCAACUACAUGUUUGUGUUUCCUCACAAACGUUAAUCCCCAUUAUGAUGAUAUUAGAAAGUGGGACUUUUAAGAGGUAAUUAGGUAAUAAAGGUGGAGCCUUCAUAAGUGAAAUUAGUGCCAUUAUAAGAAGGACCACAGAGAGCUCUCUUAUUCUCUUUCUGCCAUGUGAGGAUGCCAACAGAGAUAGUAGCUUCUAAGAUGGAAGAAGAAUCUUACCAGAAUUGAGCCUGGUCUUGGACUUCCAGCCUCCAGAACUGUGAU